rnacentral:rRNA from 1 species
AGGAAGUCUACAUCAAAGCACACGGGGGAUGCCUCGGGUGCGGACGGGCGAUGAAGGUCGUGGCACGCCACGAAAGGCCUCGGGGAGCUGCGUAGCAGGCGUCGAUCCGAGGGUCACCGAAUGGGGCAACCCCCUGCGGCAAGCCGCAGGAUCCUGGGCACAGCGGUGCCCAGGAGGCUAAACCGGGGAACUGAAACAUCUCAGUACCCGGAUCGCAAAAGCGUCAGCGAAGCCCGGAGUAGCGGCGAGCGAAACGGGCCCUGUCUAAACGUCGAGAGCUAGUAGCACGGAGGAUUGCCGGGCUCUCGGCGGGUUGUGGGGCGCUCCAUGGGUCGACAAUCCAUGGCGACCCCCUAGGAUGCAGAGCACUUGGGGAAGCGGUUGGAAUGCCGCACCCCAGAGGGUGAAAGUCCCGUCGCCAAGGGCUCUGGAUCGUGGGGUGAGCGUUCCCAAGUACCACCCGGCACGUGAAACCGGGUGGGAAUCCGGGCGGCCCACCGCCCAAGACUCGCGACCGUCCGACACCGAUAGCGAAGAGUACCGUGAGGGAACGGUGAAAAGCCCCCCGGGAGGGGAGUGAAAGAGUCCCUGAAACCGUGUGCUGACAAGCCGUCAGAGUCUCGCAAGGGAUGAUGGCGUGCCUAUUGAAGAAUGAACCGGCGAGUGACCGUCGCACGCCAGGUUAAUUCCCGCGAGGGAAGGAGCCGGAGCGCAAGCGAGUCUGAAAGGGCAGCAGAGUGUGCGGCGAUCGACCCGAAACCGUGUGAUCUAGCCGAUGCCAGGCUGAAGUCCCCUUAACCCGGGAUGGAGGGCCGAACCCGUGUCCGUUGAAAAGGGCUGGGAUGAGUGCCGGCUAGGGGUGAAAUGCCAAUCGAACACGGAGAUAGCUGGUUCUCCCCGAAAUCGCUUGAGGGCGAGCCUCCGCGAUUCCGAGCUCUCGGGGUACGGCUCUGUGAAUGGAAGGGGUCCCGCUGGGAUUACUGCCUGUUCGCAAACUAGGAAGUCGAGAGCCGGCGCGUGGGAGUCAGACGUCGGGGGAUAAGCUCCGGCGUCAAGAGGGCAAGAGCCCAGAUCGUCCGUUAAGGUCCCUAAGUGCCCGCUGAGUGGGAAAGGUCGUCGCGCGGCCGAGACAGCCAGGAGGUUGGCUUAGAAGCAGCCAUCCUUGAAAGAGUGCGUAAUAGCUCACUGGUCGUAGUUGCGCGGCGCCGCUAAUGUUCGGGGCUAAGCGGGCCACCGAAACGGCGAAUCGACCCCCUUGGGGGUCGGUGGUAGGGGAGCGUCCCACGGGGGGUGAAGCGAGGGUGGAAACCGUCGUGGACCGCGUGGGAGUGCGAAUGCCGGUAUGAGUAGCGCAAAGGGACGUGAGAAUCGUCCCCGCCGCAAGCCGCAGGGUUCCGGAGGCAGGAUCGUCCGCUCCGGGUUAGUCGGGCCUAAGGCGAGGCCGUUCAGGCGUAGUCGAUGGAGACACGGUGGAGAUUCCGUGACCCCCCAGCGACGGUGAAUCGGACGGGACCGGGUCCGAACUGGGAGCGCCCCGUUGGUAGUGGGCGUGGCCCCCGAUGGGGGCCGACUCGUGGGGGGAAUCCCUGCGAGAUAGUCCGGGAACGGGCCCGCAAGAAAAGCGUCCGAGGAGUCGAUGGGGGUCCGUACCCGAAACCGACACAGGUAGGCGAGGCGAGUAGCCUCAGGCGCGCGAGAGACCUCUCGUUAAGGAACUCGGCAAAAUCCCCCCGUAACUUCGGGAGAAGGGGGCCCGGUGGGGAGCACCCCGCCGGGGGCAGAAAGCAGGCCCAGGCGACUGUUUACCACAAACACAGGUCCCUGCGAAGUCGUAAGACGCCGUAUAGGGGCUGACGCCUGCCCGGUGCUGGAAGGUUAAGGGGAGGGGUGCAAGCCGCGAACCGAAGCCCCAGUCAACGGCGGCCGUAACUAUAACGGUCCUAAGGUAGCGAAAUUCCUUGUCGGGUAAGUUCCGACCCGCACGAAAGGCGUAACGAUCUGGGCACUGUCUCAACGAGAGCCUCGGUGAAAUUGCAAUCCCUGUGAAGAUGCAGGGUUCUGACGACUGGACAGAAAGACCCCGUGGAGCUUUACUGUAGCCUGCUAUGGAUCGGUUGGUGUUCUUGUACAGGAUAGGUGGGAGGCUGAGAACCCCGCGCGUCAGCGUGGGGGGAGCCACUGGUGGGAUACCACCCUGGAGCCCCGACCGAUCUAACCGUCCGCGCAACCCGCGGCGGGACCGUGGCAGGUGGGCAGUUUGACUGGGGCGGUCGCCUCCUAAAGCGUAACGGAGGCGCCCCAUGGUUCCCUCAGCACGGUUGGACAUCGUGCAGGGCGUGUAAAGGCACAAGGGAGCUUGACUGCAAGCGCGACGGCGCGAGCAGAGUCGAAAGACGGGCUUAGUGAUCCGGUGGCACCGCGUGGCAGGGCCAUCGCGCAACGGACAAAAGCUACCCCGGGGAUAACAGGCUGAUCUUCCCCAAGAGUCCAUAUCGACGGGAAGGUUUGGCACCUCGAUGUCGGCUCAUCGCAUCCUGGGGCUGAAGUCGGUCCCAAGGGUUGGGCUGUUCGCCCAUUAAAGCGGUACGUGAGCUGGGUUCAGAACGUCGUGAGACAGUUCGGUCCCUCUCCGUCGUCAGCGGAGGAUAUUUGAGGGGGGCUGCUCCUAGUACGAGAGGACCGGAGUGGACGGACCGCUGGUGUGCCCAGUUGUGCUGCCAAGCGCAUCGCUGGGAAGCUAGGUCCGGGACGGAGAAGCGCUGAACGCAUCUAAGCGCGAAACCGGCCCCAAGAUGAGAUAUCCAGUCGGCCCCUUUGGGGGCUGGCGAAGACCCCCGGCAGACCACCGGGUGGAUAGGCGGACCGUGGACAGCCAGCAAUGGUUGGAGCGAGUGCGUACUAAUCGGUCAAGCAGACUUCCUCU